AAUACCUAAAUGUAAAACAGGAAGCCAUCAAAAUCCUAGAGGAGAAGACAGACAAAAACCUUUUUGCCCUGGGCCGCAGCAACUUCUGACUCAACAUGUCUCUGGAGGUGAAGGAAACAAAAG